UUUCCUACGGGGCGCAGCAGUGAGGAAUAUUGGUCAAUGGUCGGGAGACUGAACCAGCCAAGCCGCGUGAGGGAUGAAGGUACAGAGUAUCGUAAACCUCUUUUGUCAGGGAACAAAGGCGGGGACGUGUCCCCGGAUGAGUGUACCUGAAGAAAAAGCAUCGGCUAACUCCGUGCCAGCAGCCGCGGUAAUACGGAGGAUGCGAGCGUUAUCCGGAUUUAUUGGGUUUAAAGGGGGCGCAGGCGGGCUGUUAAGUCAGGGGUCAAAGCCCGGGGCUCAACCCCGGGCCGCCGUUGGAACUGGGG
rnacentral:rRNA from 1 species